rnacentral:tRNA from 1 species
AAAGGGAGACCUAAUUCAGGUAAAAGACGAAAAAAAAGUAGUCGCUACCAAGAAUCAAUCCCAAAAGGUCGGAGCGAGGCGAAAUUGGCUUUCAAACUAGGUUCUGGGUUCACACAAGACCUGAAUCAGGAACAAGGGCUAUUAGCUUAGGUGGUUAGAGCGCACCCCUGAUAAGGGUGAGGUCCCUGGUUCGAGUCCAGGAUGGCCCACCUGCACAGGUGGCAAAAACAAGAGAAGCUCCGAAUCAGCACCUUAUCUUACUGACAUAGUAAGAGAGAAUGCUGGCUCUGAGUAAAGAGUCCAGAGGAACCUUGAAAACUGCAUAGAGCUAGGUGAAAAAGCCAAAAAAGAAGACCGCAAG